UCCAGACAUAUUGCUCCCUGGGCAUCUUCUGCAGAGAUAUUGCUGUGACUGUGUGCCUCCUCUCCAGAAGUAAACAGCAUGUUACUGGUAUCAAGAUGGUAGCCACCUUCUAAACAUGUAGCUAUUAUUUUUCUUGGACCACAAAAAUGAUAUAUCCAAGGUAAAAUAAAUAUAUAAAUAAAUAAAGUUGCUGGCA
rnacentral:lncRNA from 1 species